UAGUGAACCAGUACCGUGAGGGAAAGGCGAAAAGAACCCCGGCGAGGGGAGUGAAAAAGAACCUGAAACCGUGUACGUACAAGCAGUGGGAGCACAGAGCAAUCUGUGUGACUGCGUACCUUUUGUAUAAUGGGUCAGCGACUUAUAUUCUGUAGCAAGGUUAACCGAAUAGGGGAGCCGAAGGGAAACCGAGUCUUAACUGGGCGUUAAGUUGCAGGGUAUAGACCCGAAACCCGGUGAUCUAGCCAUGGGCAGGUUGAAGGUUGGGUAACACUAACUGGAGGACCGAACCGACUAAUGUUGAAAAAUUAGCGGAUGACUUGUGGCUGGGGGUGAAAGGCCAAUCAAACCGGGAGAUAGCUGGUUCUCCCCGAAAGCUAUUUAGGUAGCGCCUCGUGAAUUCAUCUCCGGGGGUAGAGCACUGUUUCGGCAAGGGGGUCAUCCCGACUUACCAACCCGAUGCAAACUGCGAAUACCGGAGAAUGUUAUCACGGGAGACACACGGCGGGUGCUAACGUCCGUCGUGAAGAGGGAAACAACCCAGACCGCCAGCUAAGGUCCCAAAGUCAUGGUUAAGUGGGAAACGAUGUGGGAAGGCCCAGACAGCCAGGAUGUUGGCUUAGAAGCAGCCAUCAUUUAAAGAAAGCGUAAUAGCUCACUGGUCGAGUCGGCCUGCGCGGAAGAUGUAACGGGGCUAAACCAUGCACCGAAGCUGCGGCAGCGACGCUGAUGCGUUGUUGGGUAGGGGAGCGUUCUGUAAGCCUGUGAAGGUGUGCUGUGAGGCAUGCUGGAGGUAUCAGAAGUGCGAAUGCUGACAUAAGUAACGAUAAAGCGGGUGAAAAGCCCGCUCGCCGGAAGACCAAGGGUUCCUGUCCAACGUUAAUCGGGGCAGGGUGAGUCGACCCCUAAGGCGAGGCCGAAAGGCGUAGUCGAUGGGAAACAGGUUAAUAUUCCUGUACUUGGUGUUACUGCGAAGGGGGGACGGAGAAGGCUAUGUUGGCCGGGCGACGGUUGUCCCGGUUUAAGCGUGUAGGCUGGUUUUCCAGGCAAAUCCGGAAAACUAAGGCUGAGGCGUGAUGACGAGGCACUACGGUGCUGAAGCAACAAAUGCCCUGCUUCCAGGAAAAGCCUCUAAGCAUCAGGUAACAUCAAAUCGUACCCCAAACCGACACAGGUGGUCAGGUAGAGAAUACCAAGGCGCUUGAGAGAACUCGGGUGAAGGAACUAGGCAAAAUGGUGCCGUAACUUCGGGAGAAGGCACGCUGAUAUGUAGGUGAAGUCCCUCGCGGAUGGAGCUGAAAUCAGUCGAAGAUACCAGCUGGCUGCAACUGUUUAUUAAAAACACAGCACUGUGCAAACACGAAAGUGGACGUAUACGGUGUGACGCCUGCCCGGUGCCGGAAGGUUAAUUGAUGGGGUCAGCGCAAGCGAAGCUCUUGAUCGAAGCCCCGGUAAACGGCGGCCGUAACUAUAACGGUCCUAAGGUAGCGAAAUUCCUUGUCGGGUAAGUUCCGACCUGCACGAAUGGCGUAAUGAUGGCCAGGCUGUCUCCACCCGAGACUCAGUGAAAUUGAACUCGCUGUGAAGAUGCAGUGUACCCGCGGCAAGACGGAAAGACCCCGUGAACCUUUACUAUAGCUUGACACUGAACAUUGAGCCUUGAUGUGUAGGAUAGGUGGGAGGCUUUGAAGUGUGGACGCCAGUCUGCAUGGAGCCGACCUUGAAAUACCACCCUUUAAUGUUUGAUGUUCUAACGUUGACCCGUAAUCCGGGUUGCGGACAGUGUCUGGUGGGUAGUUUGACUGGGGCGGUCUCCUCCUAAAGAGUAACGGAGGAGCACGAAGGUUGGCUAAUCCUGGUCGGACAUCAGGAGGUUAGUGCAAUGGCAUAAGCCAGCUUGACUGCGAGCGUGACGGCGCGAGCAGGUGCGAAAGCAGGUCAUAGUGAUCCGGUGGUUCUGAAUGGAAGGGCCAUCGCUCAACGGAUAAAAGGUACUCCGGGGAUAACAGGCUGAUACCGCCCAAGAGUUCAUAUCGACGGCGGUGUUUGGCACCUCGAUGUCGGCUCAUCACAUCCUGGGGCUGAAGUAGGUCCCAAGGGUAUGGCUGUUCGCCAUUUAAAGUGGUACGCGAGCUGGGUUUAGAACGUCGUGAGACAGUUCGGUCCCUAUCUGCCGUGGGCGCUGGAGAACUGAGGGGGGCUGCUCCUAGUACGAGAGGACCGGAGUGGACGCAUCACUGGUGUUCGGGUUGUCAUGCCAAUGGCACUGCCCGGUAGCUAAAUGCGGAAGAGAUAAGUGCUGAAAGCAUCUAAGCACGAAACUUGCCCCGAGAUGAGUUCUCCCUGACUCCUUGAGAGUCCUGAAGGAACGUUGAAG
rnacentral:rRNA from 1 species